rnacentral:lncRNA from 1 species
CAAAGCAGUGAACAGAACUUUCUGGCUAGGAACCCAGAAAAUAAAAGAUUCUUUUGUCUUCCUAGGAAAUGCUCACUUUCAACCAUGAGAGGAAUAACAAGGAGAGGUCAACAGAUGAGACACCUGGCUCUGCCUUUCAACUUCCUGGGUGACCAAAAGCAUGUCACUCAGCAUCCCUGGGCUCUCUUACCCAUCUGUGCGUAAUUGCUUCUCUCCACUGCAGCUGUGACUCUGUGAACAACUCUGAAGUAAAUAGUGUUCCUGGAGUUGUGCAGUGGGCAAGUUCUGAGCCCACCUUUGCUGGGGAGGCUCUGCAGCGCCAGGCACAGCGAUGGACCCAGGAUGUGAGAUGAUUCCAAUGUACAGCCAAUGAUGAGCAGCUGCUGGGCUGAAGGGACUGGGGCCAUUUUAUACCAGUUGUAGGAUGUUACACAGAAAUGCCUGAAAAGCAAGGAGCAGCUAUCAGAAUGUUUGGUGACACAGCUCCUCCUGUCGUGGUUCCUUCGGCAUGGACUUCACAUUCAGCAGAUCCAUGAGGUGUUCCCUUUCGGAUGAGCUCCAAGGUCUUAAGAGAGCAUCUCUAGUCUGCGUGAGUCCGUCUGAACGACGGUCCUGAGCAAGAACCACCUAUAACCAUCUGCUCAAAAUAACUCAGGGGAAGUCAAAGCUUUCUAUGUGGAAGGUGACUGAAACCACAUACACAGACCACUGCAGCAUUCCUGACAUUAUGGAACUUGGAAAUGAUUCCAAACAUGGCCAUAGCUUGAGUAACAUGUUUUGCUAUGACAAGAACUUGGACUGUAGUCCUUCCCCCUCUCAAGAAUGUGACAUCACACCUUAUCAGAUCCUACGAGUGAGCUACUGACCUCAACCACUGAACUUCAAACUAUGUAAAAACCUAAGGGUUCGACAGACACUUUGAGAGCUUGGGCUGUGGCAAGCUACACUCUGUCAGCCUCUCUUCGACAGGGCCCCACCCUGCUAGCCUUUGAACUUGGAAGCAUCGCCCACAAACACCAGUGCCACCCUCUAGCCUUGAGGGACCAUAUAUGUCUCUGUGAAUCUCCGUUGCAUUGGACAGCUUCUCUCCCAAGAGCUGCUCUUAUAAAAGAGACACACCACAUUUUAAUGAGGCUUCGCUCUCCACAGAGGCCUGCUUCCAUCCUAAUUGAGCAAGUAGACUUUAGUAACUUUGGAACUCACUCACCCCGUGACUAAUACACCCUGUCUACCCAGCGCAUUCCCUGUGAGAUUUGUUCAUGUUGUUCUCCCCCUCCUUAAGCAUUGUGAACCUAGGAAAAAUAUCAUCUCUGUAGGGCAAUAAACCAUGUGAU